rnacentral:other from 1 species
UACUCCCUGGGAUGUUCGAUACUCCUGUAUUUUGAACCUACAUUAUUUAUACGGGAACUUUAUAUUUUCUAGUGGAUGUCACGCCCCCUUGUUGGGGAUCACUGAGGCUAGAUUGCGAGUACCCACCUAGCUAUGCUAGGGGUCAAAACUCAGGAAACGGCAUUUCGGGUAAAGU